rnacentral:rRNA from 1 species
UACGGAGGGUGCAAGCGUUAUCCGGAUUCACUGGGUUUAAAGGGUGCGUAGGCGGGUAAGUAAGUCCGUGGUGAAAAUCUCUGAGCUUAACUCAGAAACUGCCGUGGAUACUAUUUGCCUUGAAUAUUGUGGAGGUGAGCGGAAUAUGUCAUGUAGCGGUGAAAUGCUUAGAUAUGACAUAGAACACCAAUUGCGAAGGCAGCUCACUACACAAUCAUUGACGCUGAGGCACGAAAGCGUGGGGAUCAAACAGG